rnacentral:rRNA from 1 species
UUAAGUGACGAUAGCCUAGGAGAUACACCUGUACCCAUGCCGAACACAGAAGGUUAAGCCCUAGAACCGCCGGAAGUAGUUGGGGUUGCCCCCUGUGAGAUAGGGAAGUCGCUUAGC